UUAGCGGCGGACGGGUGAGUAACACGUGGAUAACCUACCUAUAAGACUGGGAUAACUUCGGGAAACCGGAGCUAAUACCGGAUAAUAUUUUGAACCGCAUGGUUCAAAAGUGAAAGACGGUCUUGCUGUCACUUAUAGAUGGAUCCGCGCUGCAUUAGCUAGUUGGUAAGGUAACGGCUUACCAAGGCAACGAUGCAUAGCCGACCUGAGAGGGUGAUCGGCCACACUGGAACUGAGACACGGUCCAGACUCCUACGGGAGGCAGCAGUAGGGAAUCUUCCGCAAUGGGCGAAAGCCUGACGGAGCAACGCCGCGUGAGUGAUGAAGGUCUUCGGAUCGUAAAACUCUGUUAUUAGGGAAGAACAU
rnacentral:rRNA from 1 species